UACAGAGGGUGCGAGCGUUAAUCGGAAUUACUGGGCGUAAAGGGCGCGUAGGCGGUUAUAUAAGUUAGAUGUGAAAUCCCCGGGCUUAACCUGGGAAUGGCAUUUAAUACUGGGGACCUUGAGUGCGGGAGAGGCGAGUGGAAUGGUCGGUGUAGCGGUGAAAUGCGUAGAUAUCGAUCGGAACACCCAUGGCGAAGGCAGCUCGCUGGCCCGUAACUGACGCUGAGGCGCGAAAGCGUGGGGAGCAAACAGG
rnacentral:rRNA from 1 species